rnacentral:rRNA from 1 species
AGUGGACGCUGGCGGUAUGCCUAACACAUGCAAGUCGAACGGCAGCACAGUAAGAGCUUGCUCUUACGGGUGGCGAGUGGCGGACGGGUGAGGAAUACAUCGGAAUCUACUUUUUCGUGGGGGAUAACGUAGGGAAACUUACGCUAAUACCGCAUACGACCUACGGGUGAAAGCAGUGGAUCUUCGGACCUUGCGCGAUUGAAUGAGCCGAUGUCGGAUUAGCUAGUUGGCGGGGUAAGGGCCCACCAAGGCGACGAUCCGUAGCUGGUCUGAGAGGAUGAUCAGCCACACUGGAACUGAGACACGGUCCAGACUCCUACGGGAGGCAGCAGUGGGGAAUAUUGGACAAUGGGCGCAAGCCUGAUCCAGCCAUACCGCGUGGGUGAAGAAGGCCUUCGGGUUGUAAAGCCCUUUUGUUGGGAAAGAAAAGCAGCAGGUUAAUCCCCCGCUGUUCUGACGGUACCCAAAGAAUAAGCACCGGCUAACUUCGUG